rnacentral:tRNA from 1 species
GCGGCUAUCGUAUAAUGGCCAUUACCCAAGCUUCCCAAGCUUGUGAUGUGGGUUCGAUUCCCACUAGCCGCU